rnacentral:rRNA from 1 species
UUAGAGUUUGAUCAUGGCUCAGAUUGAACGCUGGCGGCAGGCCUAACACAUGCAAGUCGGACGGUAGCACAGAGGAGCUUGCUCCUCGGGUGACGAGUGGCGGACGGGUGAGUAAUGUCUGGGGAUCUGCCCGAUAGAGGGGGAUAACCACUGGAAACGGUGGCUAAUACCGCAUAACGUCGCAAGACCAAAGAGGGGGACCUUCGGGCCUCUCACUAUCAGAUGAACCCAGAUGGGAUUAGCUAGUAGGCGGGGUAACGGCCCACCUAGGCGACGAUCCCUAGCUGGUCUGAGAGGAUGACCAGCCACACUGGAACUGAGACACGGUCCAGACUCCUACGGGAGGCAGCAGUGGGGAAUAUUGCACAAUGGGCGCAAGCCUGAUGCAGCCAUGCCGCGUGUAUGAAGAAGGCCUUCGGGUUGUAAAGUACUUUCAGCGGGGAGGAAGGCAGUGAGGUUAAUAACCUUACUGAUUGACGUUACCCGCAGAAGAAGCACCGGCUAACUCCGUGCCAGCAGCCGCGGUAAUACGGAGGGUGCAAGCGUUAAUCGGAAUUACUGGGCGUAAAGCGCACGCAGGCGGUCUGUUAAGUCAGAUGUGAAAUCCCCGGGCUUAACCUGGGAACUGC